UGUUGAUUGUUCGUGAAUGUUUUUCUUUUCAUGUCUCAGACAGUAAUUUGUUGGCAUCUAAUCUUAAAUAUUUGUAAAUUUCAAGGAUAUAUGAAUCAAUUUUCUCAAAAAUACGUGCUUUACCCGGAAAAUUUGGCAGCCUUCGAAUGUCCGUACGGCGUUCUUCCUUAGCACGGCAGCUUUGCGCCUUUGUCAUGGUGUUCGGGAGAAGUUUAACCCCCGACUUGACAGGAGAAUUUUCCAAUUCUAAGACUUCUUUCCAUCUCUCUGAGAGAGUAUUUGUUCUUUUUGCAGGAGAAAGCUUGAAGUUAUAAAAGGGUUUAUACUUCGCAAUCAAGUUCUCAUUAGAGUCUCUCAGAGACCAAAUGAAAUUUCAAAUUGUUCAACUUCAGCCCGGAACAGAAAGUCAGAAAUAAACUUUUGAAGACGUUUCAUUCAAGGUUUAUACGUCUUCUGCCACAGUUUCGGAAAAAAUAAACUUAUUCGAAUAAUCAUUGUUCCGGCUCUUAGUGCUCUCAAAAGCACGAUUCCCCUUUUAGGAAAGUAUCAGUUUAUUGUGAAGAAAAAAGAUAAACAAGCCCCUGUAAUAACUAAGUGGUUUUAAUACACCCCAGAAAAAUAAAACUAAGUAACCCUGGAGUAUAAGGCAAGGUUGACGUGCUGAGGAAAAGCACUGUAUGCGAAUUCGAAUGUUGCCUAGUUGCUCUAAUUAAAUAUCUAUUGUAUCUGUUUAUAUAUGUAUUCGCAUAAAAGACAAUUUAAAUUAUUAUAAGACAUUUGUCUCGAAAUAUUCAGAUAUAUUAUAUUAGGUUGCAAAUAGUCUUCUCUAAAAAAAUUGAGAAAUGUCUAUGUUAAAAUUUAUCUUAGUUCAUGGAAGCAAAAUUUUCAAAUCAACAAUCUUUGGGGAGUUAAAAGAAAACAUUUGAUUUUAAAAUUUCAUAGGAAAACACUAUUCAGUUAUUUAAAGAAUAAGUUUCUAGUGAAUCCCGUAAUAAAGCAGAGUAGAGGUAUGGAUUCGGGGCGUUUUUGGACCCAACCUGGAUCUCCUCACCUCUAAAAUUUCCAAAUCAA
rnacentral:lncRNA from 1 species